GAAAAACUAACAAGGAUUCCCCUAGUAACUGCGAGUGAAGCGGGAAAAGCUCAAAUUUAAAAUCUGGUUAGUCUCUGGCUGCCCGAGUUGUAAUCUAGAGAAGUGUUAUCCGCGUUGGACCGUGUACAAGUCUCCUGGAAUGGAGCGUCAUAGAGGGUGAGAAUCCCGUCUUUGACACGGACUACCAGUGCUUUGUGAUGCGCUCUCAAAGAGUCGAGUUGUUUGGGAAUGCAGCUCAAAAUGGGUGGUAAAUUCCAUCUAAAGCUAAAUAUUGGCGAGAGACCGAUAGCGAACAAGUACCGUGAGGGAAAGAUGAAAAGAACUUUGGAAAGAGAGUUAAACAGUACGUGAAAUUGCUGAAAGGGAAACGCUUGAAGUCAGUCGCGUUGUCUGGGGAUCAACCUUGCUUUUGCUGGGUGUACUUUCCAGAUGACGGGUCAGCAUCAAUUUUGACCGUUGGAUAAAGUGCAGGGAAAUGUGGCAUCUUCGGGUGUGUUAUAGUCUCUGUUCGCAUACAACGGUUGGGAUUGAGGAACUCAGUACGCCGCAAGGCCGGGAAUUUAUUCUACGUUCGUACUUAGGAUGCUGGCAUAAUGGCUUUAAUCGACCCGUCUUGAAACACGGACCAAGGAGUCUAACAUGCCUGCGAGUGUUUGGGUGGAAAACCCGAGCGCGUAAUGAAAGUGAAAGUUGAGAUCCCUGUCGUGGGGAGCAUCGACGCCCGGACCAGACCUUUUGUGACGGAUCUGCGGUAGAGCAUGUAUGUUGGGACCCGAAAGAUGGUGAACUAUGCCUGAAUAGGGUGAAGCCAGAGGAAACUCUGGUGGAGGCUCGUAGCGAUUCUGACGUGCAAAUCGAUCGUCAAAUUUGGGUAUAGGGGCGAAAGACUAAUCGAACCAUUUAGUAGCUGGUUCCUGCCGAAGUUUCCCUCAGGAUAGCAGAAACUCAUUUCAGAUUUAUGUGGUAAAGCGAAUGAUUAGAGGCCUUGGGGUUGAAACAACCUUAACCUAUUCUCAAACUUUAAAUAUGUAAGAACGAGCCGUCUCUUGAUUGGACCGCUCGGCGAUUGAGAGUUUUUAGUGGGCCAUUUUUGGUAAGCAGAACUGGCGAUGCGGGAUGAACCGAACGCGAGGUUAAGGUGCCGGAAUUCACGCUCAUCAGACACCACAAAAGGUGUUAGUUCAUUUAGACAGCAGGACGGUGGCCAUGGAAGUCGGAAUCCGCUAAGGAGUGUGUAAC
rnacentral:rRNA from 1 species